rnacentral:rRNA from 1 species
UACGUAGGGCGCAAGCGUUGUCCGGAAUUAUUGGGCGUAAAGAGCUCGUAGGCGGCUUGUCACGUCGGGUGUGAAAGCCCGGGGCUUAACCCCGGGUCUGCAUUCGAUACGGGCUAGCUAGAGUAUGGUAGGGGAGAUCGGAAUUCCUGGUGUAGCGGUGAAAUGCGCAGAUAUCAGGAGGAACACCAGUGGCGAAGGCGGAUCUCUGGGCCAUUACUGACGCUGAGGAGCGAAAGCGUGGGGAGCGAACAGG